rnacentral:lncRNA from 1 species
GACCCUCUUGUUAUUACUUUCUAAUUAAUUUCCAAUCAUAUUUUUAUUGGUAAACUUAUCCUUGUCAUUCUUGCCAUUGAUUUUCAAAAAUUCUUUUCAUUGUUUCCCAUUAAUGAUCAGCCUCUACUUCCAAUAUAAGGUGGCAAAAGAAAUCAUUUGAUCAUCGGAACAAUUUCGAACAUCAAAUAUCUACUCUAUUCACAUCAUCCAUUUUUUUGCCACCAAUGGAUUAGGUGUACCAUGCUUCUACUGCGCCACUCUGAUUCAAUAUCCCCGAUUACCCCUUUCAUCCUACUUAAUUAAUCAAAAUCAGAUGAAGUAGGAGGACUAAAUGUCCUCAUCGUCCUAGACUCCUAAAGGCAUCAAAGAAAAUUUUCAUCAAUCACUAUAGUUCAUUAGACCUAAAUAUAUUUUGCACGUCAACAUAUCAAAUAUUUUAGUAAUCCUCAAACUAUGCUCUGA